rnacentral:rRNA from 1 species
ACGGAAGGCAGCAGUGGGGAGUAUUGCACAAUGGGCGAAAGCCUGAUGCAGCAACGCCGCGUGAGUGAAGAAGUAUUUCGGUAUGUAAAGCUCUAUCGAUGGGGAAUAAGAUGAAGGUACCCAAGUAAGAAGCCCCGGCUAACUACGUGCCAGCAGCCGCGGUAAUACGUAGGGGCAAGCGUUAUCCGGAUUUACUGGGUGUAAAGGGAGCGCAGACGGAAUGGCAAGUUUGGAGUGAAAUACCUGUGCUUAACGCAGGAAUUGCUUUGAAAACUGUCAAUCUAGAGUACUGGAGGGGUAUGGGGAAUUCCUAGUGUAGUAGUGAAAUGCGUAGAUAUUAGGAGGAACACCGGAGGCGAAGGCGCCAUACUGGACAGAUACUGACGUUGAGGCUCGAAAGCGUGGGGAGCAAACAGGAUUAGAUACCCUGGUA